rnacentral:rRNA from 1 species
AAAAGGGGCAACCUGGUAUGAGAUGGACUCGCGUCGCAUUAGCUAGUUGGUGAGGUAACGGCCCACCAAGGCGACGAUGCGUAGCCGACCUGAGAGGGUGAUCGGCCACAUUGGGACUGAGAUACGGCCCAGACUCCUACGGGGGGCAGCAGUGGGGAAUAUUGGGCAAUGGAGGAAACUCUGACCCAGCAAUGCCGCGUGAAUGAAGAAGGUCUUCGGAUUGUAAAGUUCUUUAGUCAGGGAAGAAGUCAAUGACGGUACCUGAAGAAUAAGCUCCGGCUAACUACGUGCCAGCAGCCGCGGUAAUACGUAGGGAGCAAGCGUUGUUCGGAAUGACUGGGCGUAAAGGGUGCGUAGGCGGUUGUACAAGUUAGAAGUGAAAUACCCAGGGCUUAACUCGGGUGCUGCUUCUAAAACUGUAUGACUUGAGUGCAGUAGAGGUUAGUGGAAUUCCUAGUGUAGCGGUGGAAUGCGUAGAUAUUAGGAGGAACACCAGAGGCGAAGGCGGCUAACUGGACUGCAACUGACGCUGAGGCACGAAAGUGUGGGGAGCAAACAGGAUUAGAUACCCUGGUAGUCCACACUGUAAACGAUGAAUACUAGAUGUAGGAGGUAUCGACUCCUUCU